rnacentral:rRNA from 1 species
AGUGAACGCUGGCGGUAGGCCUAACACAUGCAAGUCGAACGGCAGCACAGUAAGAGCUUGCUCUUACGGGUGGCGAGUGGCGGACGGGUGAGGAAUACAUCGGAAUCUACUUUUUCGUGGGGGAUAACGUAGGGAAACUUACGAUAAUACCGCAUACGACCUACGGGUGAAAGCAGGGGAUCUUCGGACCUUGCGCGAUUGAAUGAGCCGAUGUCGGAUUAGCUAGUUGGCGGGGUAAAGGCCCACCAAGGCGACGAUCCGUAGCUGGUCUGAGAGGAUGAUCAGCCACACUGGAACUGAGACACGGUCCAGACUCCUACGGGAGGCAGCAGUGGGGAAUAUUGGACAAUGGGCGCAAGCCUGAUCCAGCCAUACUGCGUGGGUGAAGAAGGCCUUCGGGUUGUAAAGCCCUUUUGUUGGGAAAGAAAAGCAGCAGGUUAAUACCCCGCUGUUCUGACGGUACCCAAAGAAUAAGCACCGGCUAACUUCGUG